AAGUUGGCAACAUGACAUUCCUUUGUUUUUGUAGCCAUCCUGGUAUGUACAGUCCUUCCUGUUUAGCUUAUGCCAGGAAAUGAAUCGGGUUGGAGGCCACACCCUGCCAAAAGUGACACUCCAGGAGAUGCUGAAAAACUGCAUGGUUCAAGUAAUCACUGCCUAUGAGAAACUUUCAGAAGGAAAGCAAAAGAACUGAGAAAGUGACUGAGCACUUGGAAGCUCUCAUCGACCCCUUUGACCUGGAUGUGUUCACACCGUACCUCAACAGCAACCUCCAUCUCCUGGUGCAGCGCACUUCCGUCCUGUUUGGAUUGGUUACUGGUACAGAGAACCAGGUCACCCCUCGGAGCAGUUCACUGAACUCCCAGGAAGCCCACAACAUACUGCCAUUGGCCUCGAGUCAGAUCAGGUUUGGCCUGCUUCCACUGAGCAUGACGAGCACACGGAAGGCUAAGUCAAGCACCACAGGCGUCG
rnacentral:lncRNA from 1 species